rnacentral:rRNA from 1 species
AUUGAACGCUGGCGGCAGGCCUAACACAUGCAAGUCGAGCGAGCGGCGGACGGGUGAGUAAUGUAUGGGGACUGCCCGAUAGAGGGGGAUAACUACUGGAAACGGUGGCUAAUACCGCAUACUAUCGGAUAACCCAUAUGGGAUUAGCUAGUAGGUGGGGUAAAGGCUCACCUAGGCGACGAUCUCUAGCUGGUCUGAGAGGAUGAUCAGCAACACUGGGACGGGGAAACGGACCAGACUCCAAGGGAGGCAGCAGUGGGGAAUAUUGCACAAGGGGCGCAAGCGUGAUGCAGCCAUUCCGCGUAGAUGAAGAAGGCCUUAGGGUUGUAAAGUACUUUCAGCGUGGAGGCGUUACCCGCAGAAGAAGCACCGGCUAACUCCGUGCCAGCAGCCGCGGUAAUUC